rnacentral:rRNA from 1 species
UACGUAGGGGGCAAGCGUUGUCCGGAUUUAUUGGGCGUAAAGAGCGUGUAGGCGGUCAGGUAGGUCCGUUGUGAAAACUCGAGGCUCAACCUCGAGACGCCGAUGGAAACCAUCUGACUAGAGUCCGGAAGAGGAGAGUGGAAUUCCUGGUGUAGCGGUGAAAUGCGCAGAUAUCAGGAGGAACACCGGUGGCGAAGGCGGUUCUCUGGGCAUUACCUGACGCUGAGGAGCGAAAGUGUGGGGAGCGAACAGG